UACGUAGGGGGCAAGCGUUGUCCGGAAUUAUUGGGCGUAAAGAGCUCGUAGGCGGUCUGUCGCGUCGGUCGUGAAAACUUGGGGCUUAACCCUGAGCUUGCGGUCGAUACGGGCAUGACUGGAGUUCGGCAGGGGAGACUGGAAUUCCUGGUGUAGCGGUGAAAUGCGCAGAUAUCGGAAGGAACAUCAGUGGCGAAAGCGGCUUCCUGGAC
rnacentral:rRNA from 1 species